rnacentral:misc_RNA from 1 species
GAAAUGCGAUACGCAAUGCGAAUUGCAGAACCGCGAGUCAUCAGAUUUUUGAACGCAAGUGGCGACGGUCUCGGCCGUCAUGUUUGUUUCAGUGUAUCCGGUUAAUUACAUCAUAGAACUUAAUGUGAUUGAGGUAACUCUCUCACCAAAUAAGAAGUCACUUCAACGCGACGCCUAACCGAAGCAGUCACUAACUGGUGAUAAUCGUUUAGAGCUGAGCGCUGGUAAGCAGUGACUUGAUGAGAAUUUAUCCACUAAUGGUACCUGAAAUAAGCAAGAUUACCCGCUGAACUUAA